GAUGAAGCAGAUGACAACGGUGAGCACCGACCUUUACCGUUCGAUAGUCCCUUCUGUAGAGCAGAGUUGAGGUUUGAGAGGCUUCUUACAACGGUUCAAGCCACUAUUUUAUCCAUUCGUUUUAUUGGAGAGGAGUUUCCUUUCAAAUUCGGUGGCCAGGUUGCCUGUGUUAUUGAUGGCACACGUGAGAAGGUUGUUUUGUUUCAUUCCAUUGAAGAACAUGAAGUAGAUCUAGAUGGUUAUGUUCCUUUGUCAAGGAAAGUCGUUUCGGUAGAUAUUAGAGGAGGGUUGGAUGUUGUGGUAGAAGCCUACGGGCGUUCUGGCUCUACAUCUGGUCAUUUCUACUUCCCUUCCAAGUAUUGCAACACAAGUCAGGGUAGAUUUUCCGUCUGUGGUUCUGAGGUGGAGAUUACCGUUGCUUGGUCCCGGCUUGUGGGGGACAAGAUGGCGAUGUUGAUUGAGGGAUACACUACUCAGGUGUAG
rnacentral:rRNA from 1 species